GGACUACCAGGGUAUCUAAUCCUGUUUGCUCCCCGCGCUUUCGUGCCUGAGCGUCAGGUCUCGGCCAGGACGCUGCCUUCGCCGUUGGUGUUCUUCCGGAUCUCUACGCAUUUCACCGCUCCACCCGGAAUUCCACGUCCCUCUCCGAGCCUCAAGUGCCCCAGUCUUCACGGCCCUCUCCCAGUUGAGCCAGGAGCUUUCACCGCAAACUUAGGCCACCGCCUGCGCACCCUUUACGCCCAGUAACUCCGGACAACGCUCGCCUCCUACGUAUUACCGCGGCUGCUGGCAC
rnacentral:rRNA from 1 species